CCCACCCUCCCUCCCUUUACCCCCCAGAGCUCGCUCGCUCUCCCGCCGCCGCCGCCGCCGCGGUAACUACUACAGAUCCGCCAUCUUGUAACCCGAUUCUCUAAGCCUUUCUCUUCCUCCUCCAGCAGACUCGCACGGGCUGUCCUAGCAGGGGCUACGGCGGCCGACGAGUCCAACACGCUGCACUUCUGCUUUCCGCACGCUCUUCCGAGCCCGCAGUGCUCGAUGUUCUCGCGAGGAGGUUUACUGGACCGAAGUGGGAGGGUCUACGUGCAACUUCCUCUUCUCUCGGCCCUGCCUGAUGGCGCGGGAUCUCGGCCGGGUGGUCGGCUCUCGCGAGUUCUCUGUCCCCCUUAGUGCCGCGAGACUGCUUUCUGAGCUAGCGGCGAGAGCCGAGUUUUGGUUUUUUCUUGAAGUGGUUGCGGGCUGCCCUGAGGGUGUGACGAGUCGUGGGACCCAGCUCUAAGGAAAAAGUAGAGCAAACUUGGGAGGUACGCAUCCUCGGGUGGGACUAACCCUAAGCAAGAGGGAAGGAAAUGUGCUCGCACUCUUAAUUGGAAGCUAACCCUGUCAGCCUGUGGGAGACAAACAGUUUAAAUUUCUGUGAACAUGUAGGAACAGUGAUCCCUUUAAGGAGACCCGAAACCCACCAAAACUUAUUAUGGAAUCUGUUAAAGUUAAGCAUCUCCUCAGGAAGUGUUCUGUGGAUCUCCAGGCAAUUAUAACGUGCGUGGUACGGAGUGUGUUGACAAAUUCCUAUUUCCCGCCAAAGCGUUUCACUGUUAGGCUUUUGGUAGCUGGCCAUUGAGAAGCAUCCUUUCCCCCUCACGAAAAUACAGUGGCCCUUCCGUGUUUGUAAGCUCGGAAAAGAAAUCUUCAGAGAAGUUGAGGGAAGUGGCGCGGACCUACGUUCCUAACACAUCUAAAAUAAUUGUUUUGAUAUUUUUGAGUUUUUCUUACGGGCAUUUCUUGCGUUAUCUAUCGGGAGGUCUUCUGCGCUGCAUAAGCGGAAGGUGAAUUCUCUCGGCAUUCACAUUGAUUGUCAGACAUUGCCGGGUGGAUACCAGCCCUUUGCUGGGCAGUCGUUUAUUUCGGUCCACGUUCGUUCUCGAUGGAAUCCUUUUAUUCGUUUUUAAAGCCUUUCUCAGCUUGUUCUGUCUUUAGUUCUUUCUAACCCAUUAGUCUGAAAAGUGAAAACCAGACGAAUUACACACGUAGCCCCUGCGGCGCAUCUUGGGAGUUGUCGUCAGUACUUACCUGUGGUUUUGACAAGAUCUUCUACAUAGACACCCUUCGGAGGUGCACUAAAAACGUGAGAAGUCUUAGGAAGAACAGACGCCUGAUACAAAAUAAAUUCUAAUUGCAAAAUCUGAAUACAUAGGAUUUUUUUUUUUAAUCUGAAGGAGACCUCAGAAAAUGUACUUGAAUUAAGUAGUUAAUGUAAUAAUAGGACCCGUUAAUUGCUGUGAUUGAUGUGGACAAAAUGCAUUUUGAGCCCAGAGAAAAUAUUUCUGUCAUGGGUCAAAGAAAGCUUCACAGAAGUUUUGAACCAGGUGUUUGAGGAUCCCUGAAUGGGAAUUUGCAUUUUGGCUUGGGGAAAGUGUUCAAGGCUGAGAGGACAGGAAGAACAAAGUCAUUAUAUGUUACUGGCCUAAAAGAACUUCUCUGUAAGUAAUAUAUAAGUUAAAGGAAUGACAACUACGAAGAAGUCUGUUUAAUACUAUAUGUGUCAAGGUUAAUGGCCCUACUAACUCUGGAUAAAAUGGCGAAAUAAUAGUUAUUUCCUGUAUUUACUCAAUCAUUCCUAGUAUUUGUUGAUCAUAUACUAUGUGCUAGGACACUGUUCCAUACAGUGAAUAAAUAGAAGUCCCUCUUGUCACGGAGCUUACAUUCUAGUGUAGGAAGACAAUGAACAAAUAUAUGCCAGACACUGAUAAAUAUGAGUACAAAAAAAUAAAAGUAGCAAAAGGUCAGUGAGCUUGGGAAGGAAAAUGGUGUUUAUUGAGGAGGGCCUCUGAGGGAGGUAGUCAGCCAUGCAUUUCCUCAAGGGAAGAGAGCAUGAGGGAGCCGGACAGCAAAGUACAAAGCCUUGUGGCUGUAGCAUGCUGAGUGAGAGGGAUAAUAAGGAAACCAGUGUCUUUAAACCCAAAUUUUGUAAUACUAUACACAUUGCGCCCCAGAUGUACCCCAGUUUAAACUGUCUUCUAUGUAUGUGUCAUUUCCAGUAGUUUCCACCCUUCAACAAUAAGUGAUUUACAGAAAUUAUUUCAUGUGUUCAAAAUAUAUUUGAAGUUAAAUUCCUAGAGCAGGGAUUUUCAGCAUUGGCACUAACAUUUUGGGCUAGAUAAUUCUUUGUUGUGAGAGGUUGUUCUGUGCAUUACAAGGUGUUUAGCAGCAUCCUUAUUUUCACCCAUCUGAUGCCAGUAGUAUUGCACCCUUUCGUCCAGCUGUGAUCACCCAAAUCAUCUACCAUCAUUGCCAUUGUCCUUGGGAGGCACAUUACAUUUUUUAAUUCUUGAAGGUUUAAAAAAUUACGUUGUUAAUAUAUACAAUUAGGUUGUCGUUUGAUUGACUCAUGUCCUUGAAAUGUGAGGCUUUCUGUUUUCACCCUUCCCAUUCUGUUAAAUGUUUUAAUAAACAAGAAUUUGCUAUAUUCUCUCAUUUUUUUUCUUUAAGAUGAUUAAGUCUUUGCCAUUUAAAUAAACCAUCAAACUAAUAACCUAUAUCCUCUUCAGCCACAUUCCUAUUUCUUUUCCCCUUUACAGCCAAACUAAGUGUUGAAGUUGUUUAUAUUCCCUUCAUUUCUUCAUCUCUCACUUGUUCCUCAAUUGAACCUAUUCUGAUUUCUAUCCCUUCCAUCCUCCUGCCUUGCCUUCAUCAUAAAGCUCUUUAUAAACUAGCUGAAGAUAUCUAUGUUAAUAAUGCCACUGGACAUUUUUCAACCCAUUUUACUUGAACUAAGCUAAUUUGUUUUGAGGGAGAGAGAGAGAAAGAAUCCAAAGCAGGCUCUGUGCUGUCAGCAUGACAUCCCACUAACCGUGAGAUCAUAUAACCUGACAUGAAAUCAAGAAUCAGACUCAUAACUGAUUGAGCCACCAGAUGCCCAUACUUGAUCCAAGUUAAAAUUGACACUUUUUUGUCUGAACUUUGUUCCCUACAGUCAUCUCAUGACAACUCUUGCUUUAUCCUUCAGAUGCUGCUAGUUGCCACUUUCAUAGAGGAGCCUCUGACUCCCCUGACUAGAUAAUAUCCUCUUGGAAUGUUACAGACACCAAAAAACCCAAUUCAGAGUAGUUUAAAUGAUAAGAGAAUUUAUUGGCUCAUGAAUGGGAAGUCUGGAGAUAAAGGGAAACCUCAGAUAGACUCGAUUGGUUCAACAUGAACAGCGAGAACUUGUUUUCCUUCUCCCUCUGAAUUCUAUAUUCUGCUUUGUCAAAUUCAUCUAAGGCUUAAGAUCUUUUGUAUCUUAAGACAGUGGCCAAGAGCUCCCCAGUUUCCACAGUUCUUCAUUCACAGCAAAAGAGAGUUUCCUCACAUAUUCCCAGUUGCAUUUUAAUUAGACUAAUAUAGGUCACAUGUCUACCCUUGAACCUAGAGAUUUGAAGUCUAGGGAAUGUCAGGCACUGAUUGGUGGAGGCAAAUCAAGGCCCAUCCUGGGGGCUGGGGAUGGGUUUAAUCCCACCCAAAUCCCGUGGGUAUACCAUGUGAUAAUGGGUAAAACAGAUGUGGGAAGACAACCAGAGUAUCUGUUUUAUUUUCUUAUUACAUAUUCACAGGACCAUGCACCCUUCCAUUGUAGCAUUUGUCAUAUGUGUAGCUUUAUUUGUAUGAUUUCUGAUUAAUAAUUGUCUCUUCAUCUAGAUGACAAAUUUCUUUGAGUUCAGGGGUCUAUGUUUUUUUCUUACCAUUUUAUCUGUAGUGCCUAGCGGAAGGUGUGGAAUAUAGCAUGAACUCAAUAACUGUUCAAAGAUUGAAGUUUCCUUAGAAGUUUACUACUCAAUUUGACAUGCUCCCUAGCAGGUAAUUUAAUAACUCCCCUAUCAAAUCAACUGAGAUUAAAUUACAUCUUUGAAGGCUA